rnacentral:rRNA from 1 species
AUAAAGUUUUAUUUUGGCUUAUUAAUUUAUUGUUAAUUUAAUUUAUAUGUAAGUUUUUGCAUGAAUUUAUAUUUAUUUUAAAAGUAAUUAUAGUUUAUUAUAUAUUCGCAGUAAUUGAUAUUAUUAAUUAAAGAAAUUUAGAAAUAGUAAUAUUAAAGAGUAUUGAUAAAAUUUGUGCCAGCAAUCGCGGUUAUACGAAUAAUGCAAAUAAAUUUUAUUAGUUAAAGUUAAAUUGUUGUUAUUAUUAAAUAUUAGUAAAUUUAUUAAGUGAAAUUUUAAAUUUAUUAAUUUUAUAAAGAAAUAUGUUGAAGCUUAAAAAUUUUUUUGAUAAACUAGGAUUAGAUACCCUAUUAUUAAAAAUGUAAGUUUGUAAACUGAGGUAGUAUUAGUUAUGAUCUUGAAACUUAAAAAAUUUGGCGGUAUUUUAGUCUAUUCAGAGGAACCUGUUCUGUAAUCGAUAAUCCACGAUGGACCUUACUUAGAUUUGUGAUCAGUUUAUAUACCGUUGUUGUUAAAAUAUUUUAUAAGAAUGAUAAUUUUUGUAAUUUUUUAUUAAAAAAUAUAUCAGAUCAAGGUGUAGCUUAUGUUUAAGUAGAAAUGGGUUACAAUAAAUUUAUUUAUAUGGAUAUAAAUUUGAAAUGUUUAUUGAAGGUGGAUUUGAAAGUAAAAUUAUAGAGAUUAAUAAUUUGAUUUUAGCUCUAAAAUAUGUACACAUCGCCCGUCACUCUUAUUAUUAAGAUAAGAUAAGUCGUAACAUAGUAGAUGUACUGGAAAGUGUAUCUAGAAUGCA